ensembl:lncRNA LINC00507 long intergenic non-protein coding RNA 507
CUGUGAAAGGUGUUCAGCGAAUGAUAGUUAUGAUGAUAAGGCAGAUAUUUUAUAUGUAACCUAGAAAAUUACAUACGGCUUUCAGAUCUUCAGACCCUCUGUUCUUCCUUCUUAAUUUUCAUCAAGGAAGGUUAAGAAGUAAGGUUAACUUAGCUAAGAAGCAACUACGUGCAGGAAUAAAGUACAGCGAGAAGAAGAAGUUUCACCUGCCUGCACAUCUGUCGUUGACUCUCCAUCUGACUUGGAGGGACUCUGAGGGACCAACCUGAGCCUGAGAAGAGGCAAGAUUCCCCUUCAAGGACACACUGGGAACUUACGGACCUCUUUCUCCAUGGUGCAGAGCGCAGAGGUGAACAAACAGACGCAUAAUAGCUCUUGAGCUUGCCAUUGGGAAGUGAAAAUCAACUGCUUGAAUAAAUGUAAGGACUCAGGUAGACAUCACCUUGUGACUCAACAGCAGCCAAUAAGAUGGAAAUAAAGGCCAUGAAGUUAUCGGAUGGCAUCUACAAGGAAUACUUAGAUGAGGAGGUGACUCUGGUAGCAAUUGUUCUUUUGUCUUUCUCACCUUCCUUCUUGUCCUGUCUGGGAUGCUGAAGUGAUGGCUGGUAUACAGAUGCCCUGUUGUGAUGUUGAGAUAAACAUGAGAAUAAAAGUCGGCGAUUACAGAUGGCAGAGAAGAGAGAGAAAGAUAGGAUGUAGGUGGAUAUUGACGGAACUAAGUUUCUAUUGCACAAGUUCUACCACCAACCUCUGGACUUCAUGAUAUGUGAGGGAGAAAUAAACUCCUAUUUUAGAAGAGAUCUAUGUUACCUGCAACUGAACGGAAUGCUUAAUUGGCACAUCCUAUGUGCUCCAAACCUUCCUUAAUUUCUGUGUGUAAGGCAUACUUAGUCUUUACCCAUUAUUCUGUUCACAUUCAUUCACUUGAUCAGCCUCCCAACUCUAUGGUAAAGAGUUUACUACAGUUUACUCUAUUAGUAAGGGAGAUUCUGGAGCAAGCCCCACAAAUCAUAGAUUGAAUACCCAUUCAUUAAGAGAGAGAUUUAAAGAUACUUCUAUCCAAACACAUUUUAAAUUUCCAGCACCUUUGAGGUGGUGGAGGUUCAUGGUGGUUGAUAGGGUUUAAAUGACUUGUGAUUCAAGCUCCAUAUUACAAUGUAACAGUGCAAAAGUUCAUUUUUUUAAAUUUAUUUUACUUUAAGUUCUGGUAUACAUGUGUAGAACAUGCGGGUUUGUUACAUAGGUAUACAUGUGCCAUGGUGGUUUGCUGCACCUAUCAAACCGUCACCUAGGUUUUAAGAACCACAUGCAUUAGGUAUUUGACCUAAUGCUCUCCCUCAUGUUGCCCCCCAACUCCCUGACAGGGCCCAGUGUGUGAUGUUCCCCUCCCUGUGUCCAUGUGUUCUCAUUGUUCAACUCCCACUUAUGAGUGAGAACAUGUGGUGUUUGAUUUUCUGUUCCUGUGUUAGUUUGCUGAGAAUGAUGGCUUCCAGCUUCAUCCAUGUCCCUGCAAAGGACACGAACUCAUUCUUUUUUAUGGCUUCAUAAUAUUCCAUGAGUCUGGAUUUGGUUACAGAUAGAGCUGGACAAGCCUUAGCUAUAUCUAAUGGCUUUUGACAUGUUAUAUCAAUUUCUUACUGCUUUUGUAAAUGAAUAUAUUAAGAAGAAAAAAUUACAAAUGACCCUUUCUUCACAAACUUUUAGGGUAAUCAAGUUCAGUUAUUAAAAAAUGGAUGUUUGCAACAUUCAUAGUAAUUAUUUUCAGAAAAUUAAAAAUGAUUAAAAAUUAUAUUUUCAUCCCAUUCAGAUAUUAUAUAUUUAACUGUGAGAUAAUUCUCAGAGAUAAAUGUCAACUUUUAAAAAAUGCUAAAUAAAUUAAAUCAAAAUAUCCCCUCUAAAAUAAAUAAAUUAGCUCCGAUUAUUUCUUCUUUUUAAAUUUUUCCUUAUAGUUGUAAAAAUAAAGUGAACGUUUUGGCUCAUUUCCUCAUUAAAGUUUGAAUUUUCCAGUCA